UAGGGAAUCUUCCGCAAAGGGCGAAAGCCUGUCGGAGCAACGCCGCGUGAGUGAUGAAGGUCUUCGGAUCGUAAAACUCUGUUAUUAGGGAAGAACAAAUGUGUAAGUAACUAUGCAAGUCUUGACGGUACCUAAUCAGAAAGCCACGGCUAACUACGUGCCAGCAGCCGCGGUAAUACGUAGGUGGCAAGCGUUAUCCGGAAUUAUUGGGCGUAAAGCGCGCGUAGGCGGUUUUUUAAGUCUGAUGUGAAAGCCCACGGCUCAACCGUGGAGGGUCAUUGGAAACUGGAAAACUUGAGUGCAGAAGAGGAAAGUGGAAUUCCAUGUGUAGCGGUAAAAUGCGCAGAGAUAUGGAGGAACACCAGUGGCGAAGGCGACUUUCUUGUCUGUAACUGACGCUGAUGUGCGAGAGCGUGGAGAUCAAACAGG
rnacentral:rRNA from 1 species